CCAUGUGAGAUUCUAUAUAAUGAUCGAGGCAAGCUGUAGGCAUACAUGGAUGAGAUGUUUGACAUGGGAAAUUAUAGAUGAAAAUAGAGAUGCAAUUUUUUCCACUUCUCAACUUUUCUUUGUUGCCUUCAUGACUUUUCCUCCACAAGUUUUUUUCCUCAAAAACAAAAAGGAAAAAAGAUGAGAUAUCGUCCUCUUAUUCUCAUUCAGAUAUAGGCCUACAAGUGGAUUGAUCGAUCUCCAAUUUGGAACCGAUCCAAAACUAAUUCGUUCCAACC
rnacentral:lncRNA from 1 species